rnacentral:rRNA from 1 species
UACGUAGGGCGCAAGCGUUGUCCGGAAUUAUUGGGCAUAAAGAGCUCGUAGGCGGUCUGUCGCGUCCGUUGUGAAAACUCGAGGCUCAACCUCGGGCUUGCAGUGGAUACGGGCAGACUAGAGUCAGGUAGGGGAGAACGGAAUUCCUGGUGUAGCGGUGAAAUGCGCAGAUAUCAGGAGGAACACCGAUUGCGAAGGCAGCUCGCUGGGACGUAACUGACGCUGAGACGCGAAAGCGUGGGGAGCAAACAGG